rnacentral:sRNA from 1 species
AUUGGAUCUAGUAUUCGCUUCCCCUGC